UUGGACUGAACAAUCAGGUAG
rnacentral:piRNA from 1 species